rnacentral:rRNA from 1 species
AUUGAACGCUGGCGGCAGGCUUAACACAUGCAAGUCGAGCGAGCGGCGGACGGGUGAGUAAUGUAUGGGAAACUGCCUGAUGGAGGGGGAUAACUACUGGAACCGGUAGCUCAUACCGCAUACCCUCAGAUGUGCACACAUGGUAGUAGCUAGUAGUUGGGGUAAUGGCUCAACUAGGCGACGAGCCCUAGCUGGUCUGAGAGGAUGACCAGCCCCACUGGAACUGAGCCACGGUCCAGACUCCUACGGGAGGCAGCAGUGGGGAAUAUUGCACAAUGGGCGCAAGCCUGAUGCAGCCAUGUCGCGUGUGUGAAGAAGGCCUUCGGGUUGUAAAGCACUUUCAGCGAGGAGGCGUUACUCGCAGAAGAAGCACCGGCUAACUCCGUGCCAGCCGCCGCGGUAAUUC